rnacentral:rRNA from 1 species
GUGGGGAAUAUUGGACAAUGGGCGAAAGCCUGAUCCAGCCAUGCCGCGUGUGUGAAGAAGGUCUUCGGAUUGUAAAGCACUUUAAGUUGGGAGGAAGGGCAGUAAGUUAAUACCUUGCUGUUUUGACGUUACCAACAGAAUAAGCACCGGCUAACUUCGUGCCAGCAGCCGCGGUAAUACGAAGGGUGCAAGCGUUAAUCGGAAUUACUGGGCGUAAAGCGCGCGUAGGUGGUUCAGCAAGUUGAAGGUGAAAUCCCCGGGCUCAACCUGGGAACUGCCUCCAAAACUACUGAGCUAGAGUACGGUAGAGGGUAGUGGAAUUUCCUGUGUAGCGGUGAAAUGCGUAGAUAUAGGAAGGAACACCAGUGGCGAAGGCGACUACCUGGACUGAUACUGACACUGAGGUGCGAAAGCGUGGGGAGCAAACAGGAUUAGAAACCCUGGUAGUCC